AUUGAACGCUGGCGGCAGGCUUAACACAUGCAAGUCGAGCGGGGUGAUGGUGCUUGCACUAUCACUUAGCGGCGGACGGGUGAGUAAUGCUUAGGAAUCUGCCUAUUAGUGGGGGACAACAUCUCGAAAGGGAUGCUAAUACCGCAUACGUCCUACGGGAGAAAGCAGGGGAUCACUUGUGACCUUGCGCUAAUAGAUGAGCCUAAGUCGGAUUAGCUAGUUGGUGGGGUAAAGGCCUACCAAGGCGACGAUCUGUAGCGGGUCUGAGAGGAUGAUCCGCCACACUGGGACUGAGACACGGCCCAGACUCCUACGGGAGGCAGCAGUGGGGAAUAUUGGACAAUGGGGGGAACCCUGAUCCAGCCAUGCCGCGUGUGUGAAGAAGGCCUUAUGGUUGUAAAGCACCUUAAGCGAGGAGGAGGCUUACCUAGUUAAUACCUGGGAUAAGUGGACGUUACUCGCAGAAUAAGCACCGGCUAACUCUGUGCCAGCAGCCGCCGCAG
rnacentral:rRNA from 1 species